GAAAUGCGAUAAGUAGUGUGAAUUGCAGAAUUCAGUGAAUCAUCGAAUCUUUGAACGCACAUUGCGCCCUUUGGUAUUCCUUAGGGCAUGCCUGUUCGAGCGUCACUUAAACCUUCAAGCCCUGCUUGGUGUUGGGUGCCUGUCCCGCCCCCGCGCGUGGACUCACCUCAAAUCCAUUGGCGGCCCCCGCAUGGCCACGAGCGCAGCAGAAACGCAAACUCGUGUGCCGGAACGGGCGGCUCCCAGAAGCUACACUCACCAUUUUGACCUCGGAUCAGGUAGGGAUACCCGCUGAACUUAAGC
rnacentral:misc_RNA from 1 species